GGCACAGUAGGGGCUGGAGAGGCAACGCCAGUGGGUCAGGGGACAGGACGUUUUGGGGCCUGGAGGUUCUUGUUAAUGUCAGAUGUUACCAAUAGCUCACUCUCCCUGUCUGCAAGAGGGGAGGUAGCUAAGUCAGGUGAGUAGAGGACAGAGAGCCAGGAGGGGGGGAGGGAUAGCUCAGUGGUUUGAGCAUUGGCCUGCUAAACCCAGGGUUGUGAGUUCAAUCCUUGAGGGGGCCAUUUAGGGAUCGGGGGCAAAAAUUGGGGAUUGGUCCUGCUUUGAGCAGGGGGUUGGACUAGGUGACCUCCUGAGAUCCCUUCUAACCCUGAUAUUCUAUGACUUCUGGGUUCUAUUCCUGGCUCUGGGAGCAGAGUGGGGUCUAGUAGUUAGAGGAGAGGGGUUCAGGGACUGGGAGUCAGGACUCCUGGGCUCUAUUCCUGGCUUUACCAUUGAUUCCCUGUGGGGCUUGUCACUUCCCACUUCGGUACCUCAGUUUUCCCCACCGCUGAAAUCACGAUCCUACUUCCCAGUCUCCCAGGGAAGUCACGAGUUUGUGACUCUGUGUGAAGGGUUUUGGAGACAUAAAAGCCCUACACUCUGUAAGCACUAAGUGGAGCUGGGUCAGGAUGUGGGUUUCUCUAUUGGCUUCUGGUGACUCUACCUUUGAUCUCAGGGGUUUAUAUUGUUGUCGAAACUCCCUUGAUAAAAAUGCAGCCACAUCAGGGAGGGAAACGUGGUCUAGUGGCCAGAGGACAGGACAGCUGGGUGACCUUGCUGGGUGACCUUGGACAGGUCGCAACACUUUGUGCCUCAGUUUCCCCAUCCAUAAAAUAGGGCAAAUACCUCCUGAUAGUGGUGUGGGGCUCCCUGUUGUCUCUACAGCGCCCAGAGGCUGCUGGCUGGGCAGCACCGCAGAAACACAGUGUUAGAGAUGAUAUACUAGGUUGGGAUUUAUUCAGUCUGUUUUUUUUCCCCCUCCCUUUCUCUUACCCUUGUAAAUAGAUCGCCACUAAUGAUUCCAAACUGUGAGGCUUAGCUGAGCCAGGCAGCACUGGAGGCAGUGGGUGUGGAGUAGGUCAGGAGGCAGGUUUCAGCUGACCACCUUUUCUCCUGGCGCUCGGAGAUGGGCUGGGAUCAUGAAGCCUCUUGUGUUCGCUGUGGAUUGUAAAAAUGCCAAUAAAUCAACCCUUCAGUUUUA